rnacentral:tRNA from 2 species
GGGGUGGUGGUGCAGUUGGCUAGCGCGUAGGUCUCAUAAUCCUGAGGUCGAGAGUUCGAGCCUCUCUCACCCCA